GACGAACCGUGCGAACGUUGUUCGGAUUCACUGGGCUUAAAGGGCGCGUAGGCGGGCGGUCAAGUCAGGGGUGAAAUCUUUCGGCUCAACCGGAAGAGUGCCUCCGAUACUGGCCGCCUCGAGGGAGGUAGGGGCAUGCGGAACUUCCGGUGGAGCGGUGAAAUGCGUAGAUAUCGGAAGGAACGCCGGUGGCGAAAGCGGCGUGCUGGACCUCUUCUGACGCUGAGGCGCGAAAGCUAGGGGAGCAAACGGG
rnacentral:rRNA from 1 species